GAUGAACGCUGGCGGCGUGCUUAACACAUGCAAGUCGAACGGAAAGGCCACAGCUUGCUGUGGUACUCGAGUGGCGAACGGGUGAGUAACACGUGGGUGAUCUGCCCUGUACUUCGGGAUAAGCUUGGGAAACUGGGUCUAAUACCGGAUAGGAAUCACAUGUGGGUGUGUGGUUGGAAAGCUUUUGCGGUAUGGGAUGAGCUCGCGGCCUAUCAGCUUGUUGGUGGGGUAAUGGCCUACCAAGGCGUCGACGGGUAGCCGGCCUGAGAGGGUGUAGGGCCACAUUGGGACUGGGAUACGGCCCAGACUCCUACGGGAGGCAGCAGGGGGGAAAAUUGCACAAUGGGCGCAAGCCUGAUGCAGCGACGCCGGGUGGGGGAUGACGGCCUUCGGGUGGUAAACUCCUUUCGUCAGGGACGAAGCGAAAGUGACGGUACCGGGAUAGGAAGCACCGGCUAACUACGU
rnacentral:rRNA from 1 species